rnacentral:rRNA from 1 species
UACGGAGGGGGCGAGCGUUGUUCGGAUUUACUGGGCGUAAAGGGCGCGCAGGCGGUCUUGGAAGUCAGUCGUGAAAGCCCCGGGCUUAACCUGGGAAUUGCGCUUGAUACUCUGAGACUGGAGUACGGGAGAGGAGAGUGGAAUUCCCAGUGUAGAGGUGAAAUUCGUAGAUAUUGGGAAGAACACCAGUGGCGAAGGCGGCUCUCUGGACCGUAACUGACGCUGAGGCGCGAAAGCGUGGGGAGCAAACAGG